rnacentral:rRNA from 1 species
UACGUAGGGUGCGAGCGUUAAUCGGAAUUACUGGGCGUAAAGCGUGCGCAGGCGGUUCGUUGUGUCGGCGGUGAAAGCCCCGGGCUUAACCUGGGAAUGGCCGUCGAAACUGGCGAACUGGAGUGUGGCAGAGGGGGGUGGAAUUCCGCGUGUAGCAGUGAAAUGCGUAGAUAUGUGGAGGAACACCAAAGGCGAAGGCAAUCCCCUGGGAUAAAACUGACGCUCAUGCACGAAAGCGUGGGUAGCAAACAGG